GUAGGUGGCAAGCGCUGUCCGGAAUUAUUGGGCGUAAAGCGCGCGCAGGCGGUUCUUUAAGUCUGAUGUGAAAGCCCACGGCUCAACCGUGGAGGGUCAUUGGAAACUGGAGAACUUGAGUACAGAAGAGGAAAGCGGAAUUCCACGUGUAGCGGUGAAAUGCGUAGAGAUGUGGAGGAACACCAGUGGCGAAGGCGGCUUUCUGGUCUGCAACUGACGCUGAGGCGCGAAAGCGUGGGGGGGAGCAAACAGGAUUAGAUACCCUGGUAGUCCACGCCGUAAACGAUGAGUGCUAAGUGUUAGGGGGUUUCCGCCCCCCCCUCAGUGCUGCAGCUAACGCAUUAAGCACUCCGCCUGGGAGUACGGCCGCAAGGCUG
rnacentral:rRNA from 1 species